ACACGCUCAUCUUCAACAGUUUCACUUUCAAAAACACCUCAACCCUGAAAUGUAAUCGCGCUAGCCACUAUCCUUCGAGAUUCUUGGCGAAUUUCAGAGUGCCUGCACGACAAUCGCAACGCCAUACAACAAUUACAGUUUCGUCCUGCUACAAUUGGGGUUUUUUGACCGAUAACGAGACUAACUACAAGCAUGAGUGAAGGGAAAAGAAGAAGAAGUAAUAGGCUUAUAUGUUCUCCUUGGUAGAAAAGAGGGACAAAAAGACCUCCUGUAUAUGUGAAUCUUGAAGCGUAGGAGAGGAAUUCAGAAAAGAAAAGUUGUAGUGGAAGAAAUUGCUGAAAUGGCAAAGAGAAGAAGGCUAAAUGGAUGAUAUGACAAGUUGAAGUGGAUUUUUAUGUCAUAUGUAUUUAAGAUUUUUCUAAAUUAUGAUAGCAAUGUAGUUUACCUUUGUAAGUUGGAUAUUGUGGGACAUGGGAAAAAAAUCCCUCUUUAAAAAUUGAUGUUGAAAGCUUUAUUCGCUUAUAAAGUUGGAUUUUUUUUCCUUA